rnacentral:rRNA from 1 species
GAUGAACGCUAGCUACAGGCUUAACACAUGCAAGUCGAGGGGUAACGAGAGGAAAGCUCGCUUUCCUUGUCGACGACCGGCGCACGGGUGAGUAACGCGUAUCCAACCUGCCCCCAACUAGGGAAUAACCUUGCGAAAGUAAGACUAAUACCCUAUAAUUUCCUCAGAUGACAUCUGACGAGGAAUAAAGAUUUAUCGGUUGUGGAUGGGGAUGCGUCUGAUUAGCUUGUUGGCGGGGUAACGGCCCACCAAGGCAACGAUCAGUAGGGGUUCUGAGAGGAAGGUGCCCCACAUUGGAACUGAGACACGGUCCAAACUCCUACGGGAGGCAGCAGUGAGGAAUAUUGGUCAAUGGGCGGAAGGCUGAACCAGCCAAGUAGCGUGCAGGAUGACGGGCCUAUGGGUUGUAAACUGCUUUUAUACAGGAAUAAAGUUAGCCACGUGUGGUUAUUUGUAGGUACUGUAUGAAUAAGGACCGGCUAAUUCCUUGCCAGCCGCCGCCGUAA